rnacentral:misc_RNA from 1 species
GUCCUCUUGCAAGCUUACAACCCACAUAAAAUAAACAUUGGAGAUUAUUAAAAUUCUAUUUUUUCAACAUGAUGGACAAUAUAACAAUAACAAUAAUCGGAAUUAGGUCCACAUAGUCCUUUAGCAUGUCCUUCCCCACCCAUUUGCAAAUACUCCUAUUUGUAGUUAUUCCACACCUAUCAGCCAAAACACUUUUACAUCCAUAACCAUUCAAAUUAACCAACCACACGAGACUAAUUUUGUGGAAAGGGACCAAAAACUUACAAGAACAGGGCAUAACAUUCAAAAUGUAAUCUGAACAAAAUCAAGAAGAAAAAAUAACGGAGGAUUCCCAAUAAACUACAGCAUCAAAAAGCCUUACCAAGACCCACUGAAAAAUGGAAAUGAGAAUAGGAAAAAUGAUGAACCCAUUUUUCAACUCCAUGAAACUACCAAAAUAUUAAAAGGGAAAACAAAUGCACUGGCGCAGAAAAAGCUCAUCAACAUAAUCUAUAGAUACCCAAGAACAUCAAAUAGAAAGCGAACGGAUAGAAAU